UUGGUUCUCCCGCAACAUGAACUUGUUAACUCGGUCAGGUCCGGAAGGAAGCAGCCAUAGCAGGGGAAUUGUGUGCCGGGAUGUCGCUG
rnacentral:SRP_RNA from 1 species